rnacentral:lncRNA from 1 species
UGUUUUUGAAAUUUAUAUUUUCAUUUUUAUCGCCUACAAACAUUCGCUUUUUAACCGAGGUUAAUACAUUUUAAAGAAUAUGAAAUAUCAGGGAUCACUGAGUAAUAUUCAGGUAAGAAUAUUGUUAUGUUUUAUACAUAAUAGAGCAAUUUAGAAAGGAAAUAUUUACUAUCUUCAUUCGUGAAUUUCGAGCGUGUGUUCCAGCUUAAAAUUUGAAUAUUUGCCGCGACAAUAUUUGAAUUAAAACGAUGAUAUAAUUAUAAAAGGCUUACAUUUGACCAGCCUUUAAAUCUAAUUAGAUUUAUUGUAAAUGCCAAAUAGUGUAGAACUUUGUGUAUAUGACAAAUUGCCAGAUUCCAGUGUUUCUUGUAUAAAAUAAUAUAGAUGCCUACUCAAUCCUCAUAUGCCUACCUAGGUAUGUCCCAGGUAAACAUGCUUUGAGAGAAUUUAUCAACUUGUUUCAAAUCAACUGCUACUUUCAUGGCAAGGGUGUUGAUGUUUUUUAAUUACAAAUUUGACUCCAAUGAACACAAUUUUCAGCACAUUGUUGAAUAACAUCGAUCUUGUCUGAUGCUGGACAAUUUUAUUCAUCAAGGGAAGUGUCUAGCUAUAGACUCUUCUCAUGUUUCAUGUUAUUGUUGACAUAUUUUUUAAAAUGGAAUUUUCACUCCAUCACCUUUUAACACCUACGAAGCAAUUUUCUUUUAUGUUACCUACUUCAAGUUCUCUGUAGGGAUGUGCAGGAUAGAAUCGUUUUGCUAUCCAGCCAGAUACAGGAUAUAUGUUGAAUAGUUAAAAAAUAUCCAGCCAGAUUCAGGGUAUUAGGAGCUGAUUACAUGGACCAGGCUAGCCCGGCAAACCUGGUUAGCCCGAUUACUAUAAUAAUCUCAUAAAAAUUUUGAGUUUCAAUUACAUAUGGCAGCCGGGCCAGCCCGCUUUGCCAGGAAUCCUGGCUUUUGCAACCGAGCAUAUCGGGCUGAAAAUUGCAAACACAUGGUUUUUAUUUUGAAAUUAUUAACAAAUAAUAGCACAAAAAUCACAAGUUUGCACUAAAGCACUGCUUUUGAGCAUUAAAUAAACCCUUAAACGUUUUAGAUAGUGAAUCGACUGGAUUUAGUGGAUCAUAAGCGAAACAAUACCUAAUACAAAUACAUCAACAAAUACUAAUCACAAUGUAGGGAAGCCCUAAAAUUCCGCAUAUACUGUUAACAUUCUUUAGUUAUAAUAUCCAGCAAUGAUUAUUCAAGUAUUAAAACUUUUCAAUAUAAUGAACUUACUUCAGCCCAGUUAACCGGGCAGGCACACUACAUGUAAUUGUAAAUUAAAAGUCAUCUUGCUCAGCUGUCCGGUCCAUGUAAUCGGCCCCUUAUUCAAAUAUAUAAGGUCCAGCGGCCUCAUUUAAGGUUAAGUAAUAAUUUUAAUUGGUUAAAGAGUAAUGGUGUUAAUAAUACUUUGAUUUGAAAUAAUAGGAAUGAAUUUCGCAGUCUAGUACUGGUAAACAUGCAUCAUUGGUAGUAAAAGCCUCACUUGCAUUAGUUCAAAGGGCAAACCUGCAUGUACAAAAAUUUGAAAAUAGUGUAAGCAUUCCUGUGAUCAAUCCAUUGGAUAAAAAUAUGAUAAACAACUCACCUUUUUUAACCUGAUCAAAUCAUAUUCUAACUUGUAACGAAGGCCUGAACCUUAUAUAAAUAAUAUCCAGCAUUGGGCGGCCAGGUCUACCAUAAAAUGAAGUAAAAACUCAGUAUCUGGCCAGAUAUGAUAUCCAUUGCAUCCCUAGUUAUUUGUUAUGUUUCUUUGUUUUAAAAUUCCAACUUUACUUAAUUACUUGUUAAGGAGAGAGUGUUGGAUAUACGUCUAUGAGAUGACUGUAUAUUCUUGGUAUUCAAUUUUCUUAUUUAAUUAAUUAAAUAUAUGCACCUUUUGUACCCUUUUAUAGUUAACCCUCAGAUGUAUAAUGGCUUCCCUUCCACAUGCACUGGGAGACAGACAGACCCACCAAAACAAGACAUGUAAGCUUUUUUUGCGAUUCUUCAUGCAAGUUUACUAAGGCCCCGUUUACAUGAGACCGGAACGAAGUCAAACCGGGACCAUCUCGUUUCGGUCAUAGUAUUAUCUAUAAUAGAUGUUUACAUGAGACCGGGACGAAAAUAACUCAGACCGGUCUCAAGUCAUUCCGCCUUCUGGACCGAACCGACUGACUUCAGACCGGCAUGAAUUCAGACCGGGAUGAAUGUAAACACAAAUACAUUUCAGACCUGUCUCGGCUGUAAUCUUGACAUUGGAACAACACAUGCUAGCAAAAGCCACCUGAAAAAGAAAAUUGCCUGGCAAGGGGAAUAAAUUGAAGAUUUUGUGAUCCUCGUACCGGUCUCAAUGUAAACAUGUUGACAAUUUCAAUGUUCAUUCCGGUUUGACUUCGUCCCGGUCUCAUGUAAACAGGGCCUAACAUUUUUCUUUGUAAUGUAGGUUUGAGACCCAUUGCGCCCUGCUUUAUUAUUUUACUCUUUCUAACGCCAUACGAUUUACUUGUCAAGGGGAGAGCUCUGGUGCUUAAUGGGUUAAGCAUUCAGGAGUUUCAGAAUAAGCCGGACGCCGCCGGCUACUUGAACUUGUGCCGCCGGCUACUUUUCAUCUGGUCACAGGAAAAAUUUUAUAUACAAAGGUAUAAGUGAACCAACACGAUGCUUCUUAUGUUCCAAUUGGGGUUCAAGCAAAACAUCACUUAUUUUGGAAGAUGAAUAAGAUCAAUAAUACAUAGUACCAAACAUAGCUUGCUUUCUUAAGUUGCUUUGUUUUCGCGUCACCAUCUUGAAUUUUGUAGCAAAUGGUCAGCGACUCUGAAUCUUCCUGAACAGGAAGAUGACUCUGAUUGACUCUGACGAAUUUGACAGUGAGCCAGAGAACGAGUCAGAUUCAGAGCUACUUUGGUAAAUGUUUUUCAAGUGACUAAUUCUUUGACAGUGAAUUAAUUAUAAUAAAGUGAUGAAGUAAAGUUUAUUACGUACAUAAGUAUAGCAUCAUUUAAUUAAUGAUUUUGAACUCAUAAAUUAAUACUAAUAGUGUACAUUGUCAUUAUGGUCAUGCAGCUGUACUAGUAAACUACUAGUAGCACAUUAAAGUGCAUUGUCACUUACAAGUAUAAAUGCAAAUGACAUCUAAAUCUAACAUGUUAACAGUUGUACUUUGUCUUUUUACUUAUUCUAUAUUAUUUGAUUGUUAUCAACUAUCACUCACAGCCGGCUAGUAUUUUGGUACAGCUGCCUACUUUUUUGGUACAGCCACCUACUUCAAAUCAUUCUGAAACCCCUAAGCAUUAUUUAUAUUUUUAAACUCUGUAAUGCUGUCAUGCAAUGCCAUUGUGAACCAAUUGAACCAUACUGUACCAUACUAUUAGCAUUAAUGGUACCAAGAUGUGAUGGUCUUAACUCUUUAAUAAUUCAACACACAAGUGGCUGUCGAAACAUUAAAUUAUAACUGUAUGAAGCCACCUGUAAAUGACUUCUUGAACUAUAACAUGUUCCUAGUUUGUAGCAUUCAGCUUUGUUAUCCAUACAAUUGCCUGUAUACAGUAGUGCUUUAAUUUGCAAAACUGUCCAUUUUUGAGUAACUAUAUGCAGGGGUGUGGUUUAGUUAUUAGUUAUGUAUAGUGUAUAGUAGUUUGGUUAAUUAAGUUUAAUUUACCACGUCUAACCCCAGGCCUAGAGCAAGUGUCAUUUGUGUAUUCAAGUUUGAUUCAAUAUAAAAAGAGAAUUAAUUUUAAACCUCUCUGCCAUUGUGGUAAUUAAUUGUCAGUAUUCAAGGUUGCAAACCAAAAGUUGAGUAGUGUAAUUAACUGUUCUAGUAAGAAUAGUGUCUGAAUUAAUAUUUAUAAUUGUGAGUACUAUGCACUGAUUAAUAAAUGCAACAUAUUUUGUAGGGAACUGAUGAUGUGAACCGCCAUAUUAAAUCGACAGUCUCACCU